AGGACUUUGGCAAUCGUUGCUGAAAGUCAGUGUUUGUAUUGGUGAUUUGGAUAUUUUUGUAAUAAAGUUAAGGCUGGUACUCUUGACUGUCUUGUGAAAUUAGAGAAACUUCUGCAGUUGAAAUUUAGAGGUGUCUAGAGGGUUGAGUAUGCCGAGUGCAUGCAAAAGUUUAUGUUAAUCUGAUAGAAUAGAUAGAGGAUAUUUAACCAUUAGUAUAAAGAAGUAUUGGAAGUUAGCAGAUUGGGGUUGUUUAGGGUUUUUGUAAUAUCUAGAGAUCUACCUACUGGAAUAAGGUAACUAUUGGCGUAGUAAGUUGAAGACUUGUAGGUGGCGAUUAAGAUACAUCAGUGUGGAUUUAUGGCAUUUUUUUGCAACCUGUAAGUUAGAUUGGAUUGAAACUUCUUGAGCAUUUAGAAGGCUUGCAAAGACACUAGUGGUAGAAGUUUAUAACAAUUGGACAGUCAGAUUGAGAAUUUCAGCUUACCGAAGCUCGCUAUCUAGGGUUAGGAUUGAAAAUAAAAUAAAAUA
rnacentral:lncRNA from 1 species